rnacentral:rRNA from 1 species
AGUCGAACGGUAGCAGGAAGUGCUUGCACUUUGCUGACGAGUGGCGGACGGGUGAGUAAUGCUUAGGGAUCUGCCUUCGGGAGGGGGAUAACAGUUGGAAACGACUGCUAAUACCGCAUAACACCUACGGGUCAAAGGGGGGUUCGCCUCUCGCCUGAAGAUGAACCUAAGUGAGAUUAGCUAGUUGGUGAGGUAAAGGCUCACCAAGGCGACGAUCUCUAGCUGGUCUGAGAGGAUGACCAGCCACACUGGGACUGAGACACGGCCCAGACUCCUACGGGAGGCAGCAGUGGGGAAUAUUGGACAAUGGGGGCAACCCUGAUCCAGCCAUGCCGCGUGUGUGAAGAAGGCCUUCGGGUUGUAAAGCACUUUCAGACGUGAGGAAAGGUUAGUAGUUAAUACCUGCUAGCUGUGACGUUAGCGUCAGAAGAAGCACCGGCUAACUCCGUGCCAGCAGCCGCGGUAAUACGGAGGGUGCGAGCGUUAAUCGGAAUUACUGGGCGUAAAGCGCACGCAGGCGGUUUGUUAAGCUAGAUGUGAAAGCCCCGGGCUCAACCUGGGAACUGCAUUUAGAACUGGCAGGCUAGAGUCUUGGAGAGGGGAGUGGAAUUCCAGGUGUAGCGGUGAAAUGCGUAGAGAUCUGGAGGAACAUCAGUGGCGAAGGCGACUCCUGGCCAAAGACUGACGCUCAUGUGCGAAAGUGUGGGUAGCGAACAG